rnacentral:rRNA from 1 species
UACGGGGGGGGGCAAGCGUUGUUCGGAAUUACUGGGCGUAAAGGGCUCGUAGGCGGCCAACUAAGUCAGACGUGAAAUCCCCUCGGCUUAACCGGGGAACUGCGUCUGAUACUGGAUGGCUUGAAUUCGGGAGAGGGAUGCGGAAUUUCCAGGUGUAGCGGUGAAAUGCGCAGAUAUCAGGAGGAACACCGGUGGCGAAAGGCGCUGCUCUGGGCCGGUACUGACGCUGAGGAGCGAAAGCGUGGGUAGCAAACAGG